rnacentral:lncRNA from 1 species
CACACCUCGUUUAAAGAGUAAACAUCAAAAAUAUAUCUUCGAUUAAUUUACUUGACCUAGGCUACCUAACUGUACUUGGAAUUUAUAAAAUUUUUGCGGUUCCAAACAAUGAAAUGACUUAAUUAUUUUUCUGAGGCACUAGCUUAUUGAUUAUGGAAAGUAAUAUUUGUAGGCCUUCAAAUAAAUGUUAUGGCAUUUAAAAAUAACCAUUGAGUCUUGUACAAACUUUGUAUUUUUCAAAGAUAAAGAUUGACUUUGGAUUGGACACUUAAAUAAAAUUAUGUAGACUGAAAAUCUAGACUUAAUAUAAAUAUUGUUCUUGUUACAAUGGGUUUAAACAAUGUAUGUAUUAAUUUUCAGUAUAUCUAAUCGGUAAUCAACACCUAAACAAUUCCAACUAGUUGCAAGCUGAACGGGACAAUUUUCCGGUGUGUCCUUUAUGGACUGUACCCUGUCAUAGCACUAUCUCCAAGUUUUACCCGAGAGGCCACGCCUCAAGUCGGACUUUCCUCCACACAUCUACUGACUUCAUAUAAAUGAAAGUGUACUAAGGACUCACUAAUCUGCACUACCAGUAACAAAGUAAUCCGACAAUCAGACUGGACCCGGUCAUGUUAGAAUCCAGAGGUAGGAAAUGAAAAUACAAUUGACUCCGCAUCGAUGCAUGACCUCGCCCGGAACGCGGCAAGAAAAAAACAAUGGAAGAAAAUACUACAGACGUGUUUAUUAACAAUAAAGUUAUUUUUGUUUUUAUGAAAUAGCGAUUGAAUAAAAAUAUUA